rnacentral:rRNA from 1 species
AUUGAACGCUGGCGGCAGGCUUAACACAUGCAAGUCGAGCGGAGAUGAGGUGCUUGCACCUUAUCUUAGCGGCGGACGGGUGAGUAAUGCUUAGGAAUCUGCCUAUUAGUGGGGGACAACAUUCCGAAAGGAAUGCUAAUACCGCAUACGUCCUACGGGAGAAAGCAGGGGAUCUUCGGACCUUGCGCUAAUAGAUGAGCCUAAGUCGGAUUAGCUAGUUGGUGGGGUAAAGGCCUACCAAGGCGACGAUCUGUAGCGGGUCUGAGAGGAUGGUCCGCCACACUGGGACGUAGACACGGACCAGACUCCUACGGGAGGCAGCAGUGGGGAAUAUUGGACAAUGGGGCGAACCCUGAUCCAGCCAUGCCGCGUGUGUGAAGAAGGCCUUAUGGUUGUAAAGCACUUUAAGCGAGGAGGAGGCUACUGAGACUAUACUCUUGGAUAGUGGACGUUACUCGCAGAAUAAGCACCGGCUAACUCUGUGCCAGCCGCCGCCGGUAAUAC